CGCUGGCGGCGUGCCUAAUACAUGCAAGUCGAACGGUCUUUCUAUGGAAGCUUGCCUCCACUGAGAAGAUAGUGGCGAACGGGUGAGUAACACGUGGGUAACCUGCCCAUAAGAGGGGGAUAACAUCCGGAAACGGGUGCUAAUACCGCAUAGUUUUCUUGAUCGCAUGAUUGAGAAAGGAAAGACGGCCUUUGUGCUGUCGCUUAUGGAUGGACCCGCGGCGUAUUAGUUAGUUGGUGAGGUAAUGGCUCACCAAGACGAUGAUACGUAGCCGACCUGAGAGGGUGAUCGGCCACAUUGGGACUGAGACACGGCCCAAACUCCUACGGGAGGCAGCAGUAGGGAAUCUUCCGCAAUGGACGAAAGUCUGACGGAGCAACGCCGCGUGAGUGAAGAAAAGGUUUUCGGAUCGUAAAACUCUGUUGUCAGAGAAGAACAAGUUGGAGAGUAACUGCUCCAGCCUUGACGGUAUCUGACCAGAAAGCCACGGCUAACUACGUGCCAGCAGCCGC
rnacentral:rRNA from 1 species